GAUGAACGCUGGCGGCGUGCCUAAUACAUGCAAGUCGAGCGAACGGACGAGAGGCUUGCUUCUCUGAUGUUAGCGGCGGACGGGUGAGUAACACGUGGAUAACCUACCUAUAAGACUGGGAUAACUUCGGGAAACCGGAGCUAAUACCGGAUAAUAUUUUGAACCGCAUGGUUCAAAAGUGAAAGACGGUCUUGCUGUCACUUAUAGAUGGAUCCGCGCUGCAUUAGCUAGUUGGUAAGGUAACGGCUUACCAAGGCAACGAUGCAUAGCCGACCUGAGAGGGUGAUCGGCCACACUGGAACUGAGACACGGUCCAGACUCCUACGGGAGGCAGCAGUAGGGAAUCUUCCGCAAUGGGCGAAAGCCUGACGGAGCAACGCCGCGUGAGUGAUGAAGGUCGUCGGAUCGUAAAACUCUGUUAUUAGGGAAGAACAUAUGUGUAAGUAACUGUGCACAUCUUGACGGUACCUAAUCAGAAAGCCACGGCUAACUAC
rnacentral:rRNA from 1 species